GACGUAGGGCGCGAGCGUUGUCCGGAUUUAUUAGGGCGUAAAGAGCUCGUUAGGCGGUUUGUCGCGUCUGCUGAUGGAAAACUGGAGGCUCAACCUCCAGCCUGCGAGUGGGGUACGGGCAGACUAGAGUUCGGGUAGGGGAGACAUUGGAAUUCCUGGUGGUAAGCGGUGAAAUGCGCAGAUAUCAGGAGGAACACCGGUGG
rnacentral:rRNA from 1 species